rnacentral:rRNA from 1 species
UACGGGGGGGCAAGCGUUGUUCGGAAUUACUGGGCGUAAAGGGUUCGUAGGUGGCCAACUAAGUCAGACGUGAAAUCCCUCAGCUCAACUGGGGAACUGCGUCUGAUACUGGUCGGCUUGAGUGCAGGAGAGGAACGCGGAAUUCCAGGUGUAGCGGUGAAAUGCGUAGAUAUCUGGAGGAACACCGGUGGCGAAGGCGGCGUUCUGGACUGCAACUGACACUGAGGAACGAAAGCCAGGGGAGCAAACGGG